GAAACUCUAAAAGAGGAGAAUGCAGUUAUUCGUGAUCAAUUGAAUGCAGUGAUCCAAAUUUUAGCGGAUCAAACUGUUUUAAUAAAGCAGCUGGUCAAGGAGAAGGGGGAAUUGAAUCCCAUUCGGGGACAGUUCCCUAUAAAACGCGAGGAAGAACUAGUUGAACUGGAGGAAAAAAUAAAAUUAAAUAGGGACAUUUAUAUAACAGCAAUGAAAUCGAUUCUGCAGCCAGCAGGCGUUUUGAGCGGCUUACAAUUUAUUUUGAGCGAGGAAAUUGUUUUAGCCUAUAACGUCGAUGGGGUCCAAGGAAAGAAGGCCCUUAGGACCCACAAAGAAUUUUUUGCAGCUUUGCUAGAAUGUAUUCCGCCUGGCGAUGAGCCUGCCGAAAACACUUUGCGGAAGGCAAUGCAAAGAAUGAAGAAAAGGGUUUUUAAGAAGAAGUGUAUUGCCAAAAACCAGGAGUAGGCUAAGCAUCAGUUAAUUAAAAAUUAUU